rnacentral:rRNA from 1 species
AACGAACGCUGGCGGCGCGCCUAAUACAUGCAAGUCGAGCGAGAAGACGUAGCAAUACGUUUGUAAAGCGGCGAGCGGGUGAGGAAUACAUGGGUAACCUACCCUCGAGUGGGGAAUAACUAGCCGAAAGGUUAGCUAAUACCGCGUACGCUCCUUGGACUUCGGUUCAGGGAGGAAAGCGAUACCGUGGGUAUCGCGCUCUUGGAUGGGCUCAUGUCCUAUCAGCUUGUUGGGAGGUAACGGCUCACCAAGGCUUCGACGGGUAGCUGGUCUGAGAGGACAAUCAGCCACACUGGCACUGCGACACGGGCCAGACUCCUACGGGAGGCAGCAGUAAGGAAUAUUGCGCAAUGGGCGAAAGCCUGACGCAGCGACGCCG